UGGGGAAUUUUGGACAAUGGGCGAAAGCCUGAUCCAGCAAUGCCGCGUGUGUGAAGAAGGCCUUCGGGUUGUAAAGCACUUUUGUCCGGAAAGAAAUCCUUGGCUCUAAUACAGUCGGGGGAUGACGGUACCGGAAGAAUAAGCACCGGCUAACUACGUGCCAGCAGCCGCGGUAAUACGUAGGGUGCAAGCGUUAAUCGGAAUUACUGGGCGUAAAGCGUGCGCAGGCGGUUUGCUAAGACCGAUGUGAAAUCCCCGGGCUCAACCUGGGAACUGCAUUGGUGACUGGCAGGCUAGAGUAUGGCAGAGGGGGGUAGAAUUCCACGUGUAGCAGUGAAAUGCGUAGAGAUGUGGAGGAAUACCGAUGGCGAAGGCAGCCCCCUGGGCCAAAUACUGACGCUCAUGCACGAAAGCGUGGGGAGCAAAACAGGAUUAGAUACCCUGGUAGUCCACGCCCUAAACGAUGUCAACUAGUUGUUGGGGAUUCAUUUCCUUAGUAACGUAGCUAACGCGUGAAGUUGACCGCCUGGGGAGUACGGUCGCAAGAUUAAAACUUAAAUGAAUUGACGGGGUCAUAGCUGUUUCCU
rnacentral:rRNA from 1 species